CCUACGGGGGGCUGCAGUGAGGAAUAUUGGUCAAUGGGCGGAAGCCUGAACCAGCCAAGUAGCGUGCGGGAUGAAGGCCCUACGGGUCGUAAACCGCUUUUGCACGGGGAUAACACCCUCCACUUGUGGAGGUCUGCAGGUACCGUGCGAAUAAGGGCCGGCUAAUUCCGUGCCAGCAGCCGCGGUAAUACGGAAGGCCCGAGCGUUAGCCGGAUUCAUUGGGCUAAAAGGGAGCGUAGGGGGGAGUUCAAGUCAGCGGUAAAAUGGCGCGGCGCAACCCCGCCCCGCAGUUGAAACUGAACGCCUUGAGUUCACAACAGGCAGGCGGAAUUCGUGGUGUAGCGGGGAAAUGCAUAGAUAUCACGAGGAACCCCGAUUGCGAAGGCAGCCUGCCGGGGUGCGACUGACGCUGAGGCUCGAAGGUGCGGGUAUCAAACAGGAUUAGAUACCCGUGUAGUC
rnacentral:rRNA from 1 species